rnacentral:rRNA from 1 species
AGCGAACGUUAGCGGCGCGCCUAACACAUGCAAGUCGCACGAGAAAGGGGGGCAACCCCCGGUACAGUGGCGCACGGGUGAGUAACACGUGGAUGACCUGCCCUGGAGUGGUGGAUAACCUUCCGAAGGAGGGCUAAUACAGCAUGAGACCACGCGCCUGCGGGCGUGGGGUCAAAGUGGGCCUCUAUUUAUAAGCCCACGCUCGAGGAGGGGUCCGCGGCCCAUCAGCUAGUUGGGAGGUAACGGCUCACCAAGGCAUCGACGGGUAGCUGGUCUGAGAGGAUGGCCAGCCACACUGGGAACUGAGACACGGUCCAGACUCCUACGGGAGGCAGCAGUGGGAAUCUUGCGCAAUGGGCGAAAGCCUGACGCAGCGACGCCGCGUGGGUGACGAAGGCC